rnacentral:rRNA from 1 species
UACGAAGGGGGCUAGCGUUGCUCGGAAUCACUGGGCGUAAAGGGUGCGUAGGCGGGUCUUUAAGUCAGGGGUGAAAUCCUGGAGCCCAACUCCAGAACUGCCUUUGAUACUGAGGAUCUUGAGUUCGGGAGAGGUGAGUGGAACUGCGAGUGUAGAGGUGAAAUUCGUAGAUAUUCGCAAGAACACCAGUGGCGAAGGCGGCUCACUGGCCCGAUACUGACGCUGAGGCACGAAAGCGUGGGGAGCAAACAGG